CCUACGGGCGGCUGCAGUAGGGAAUCUUCCACAAUGGGCGCAAGCCUGAUGGAGCAACACCGCGUGAGUGAAGAAGGGUUUCGGCUCGUAAAGCUCUGUUGUUAAAGAAGAACACGUGUGAGAGUAACUGUUCAUACGUUGACGGUAUUUAACCAGAAAGUCACGGCUAACUACGUGCCAGCAGCCGCGGUAAUACGUAGGUGGCAAGCGUUAUCCGGAUUUAUUGGGCGUAAAGAGAGUGCAGGCGGUUUUCUAAGUCUGAUGUGAAAGCCUUCGGCUUAACCGGAGAAGUGCAUCGGAAACUGGAUAACUUGAGUGCAGAAGAGGGUAGUGGAACUCCAUGUGUAGCGGUGGAAUGCGUAGAUAUAUGGAAGAACACCAGUGGCGAAGGCGGCUACCUGGUCUGCAACUGACGCUGAGACUCGAAAGCAUGGGUAGCGAACAGGAUUAGAUACCCUAGUAGUC
rnacentral:rRNA from 1 species